AUUUUUUGAUAUGUUGUUUCCCUGAAUGGAUUGAUUGUAAAUAUAUAUUUUUUAUGUGAAUGUAAUGUAUAUUUUAGAAGUUAUGAAUAUGCUGUUAAAACUGUAUUAUUUCUGGCCAGCAGAUAAUUGAGCUUUGUGUAUUGUAGAAACUCAAUUAUCUAGCCUGGCCCAGAGGAGGAGUUUUGUGUUGCAUAAAUUGUGAGUUCUGUGUGCCAGUAAAUCAGUCUUGUUCCAGCAUUAAGCCUUGGCUCAUGUUUGGGGGAUUGGAGAAAUACACUCUGGGGAUUGCUAUAAUCACUAUACUCCCCAGGGUAUGAUCACUAAG